rnacentral:rRNA from 1 species
AUUGAACGCUAGCGGGAGGCUUUACACAUGCAAGUCGAACGAGUGGCGGACGGGUGAGUAAUGUAUCGGAAACUGCCCAGUGGAGGGGGAUAACUACUGGAAACGGUAGCUAAUACCGCAUACUAUCGGAUGAACCCAUAUGGGAUUAGCUAGUAGGUGCGGUAAUGGCUCACCUAGGCGACGAUCCCUAGCUGGUCUGAGAGGAUGACCAGCCACACUGGAACUGAGACACGGUCCAGACUCCUACGGGAGGCAGCAGUGGGUAAUAUUGCACAAUGGGCGCAAGCCUGAUGCAGCCAUGCCGCGUGUAUGAAGAAGGCCUUCGGGUUGUAAAGUACGUUCAGCGGGGAGGCGUUACCCGCAGAAGAAGCACCGGCUAACUCCGUGCCAGCAGCCGCGGUAAUUC